UACGGAGGGUGCAAGCGUUAUCCGGAUUCACUGGGUUUAAAGGGUGCGUAGGCGGACAUGUAAGUCCGUGGUGAAAUCUCUGGGCUUAACCCAGAAACUGCCAUGGAUACUAUAUGUCUUGAAUGUUGUGGAGGUUAGCGGAAUAUGUCAUGUAGCGGUGAAAUGCAUAGAUAUGACAUAGAACACCAAUUGCGAAGGCAGCUGGCUACACAAAUAUUGACGCUGAGGCACGAAAGCGUGGGGAUCAAACAGGAUUAGAUACCCUGGUAGUCCACGCCCUAAACGAUGAUUACUCGACAUACGCGAUACACAGUGUGUGUCUGAGCGAAAGCAUUAAGUAAUCCACCUGGGAAGUACGACCGCAAGGUUGAA
rnacentral:rRNA from 1 species